CGCUCAUCCAGAGGGGCAGAGGGAUACGGCCCGUUGAAGCCCCGGCAACCCUCCAGCCGGUCUCGUAGAUCGCAGCGCGCAGUGCCGCGCCGAUCGUUCCGCGAGGCUCCCGGCUAGGGAAGGUGCCAAAUCCGUCUCACGGCGAGAUGCGUCGUGAGGAAGAUGAGGA
rnacentral:ncRNA from 2 species